CUCAGUGUAACAACAUACUACUUGUCUUGAGUAAAAAGAAAUUUCUUUCUUUCUCCCGGGAGGAAAAGGUUAAAAAACUUAUCUUCCUAGUCUUUUUUUGGCAUUUUUUUCUUCUGGUACAUUUUUUCCUCGCUGUUCAACUUGUAGGAGUCAUUAAUAUAUCCCUGCUUCUUAAUAUCUAUCAAAAUAUGUAAAAAACCAUUUUGCACGAACUUUAUCUCUUCUCGAUCGGUCAUAGUUUUCCAGAAGCCCUCUCACAGAAUAGACGACCAGUUGUCAACAUUUACAAAAAGGGAAAGUCUCACCUCGACCUAUUUUGCUGGAAGCUGAGGCUCUUUUUCAGCUUAACACUGGCAUUCGAAAGCGAUUUGGGAACGGUAACGGCGCUAUCGGGGCUUUGUGUGGAUGGGGUGUGCUGGUCCGUCAUCUCAGACACUAUACUUUUCCUGUGAAGUCGCUCCUCUCUCGUCGCUUCGUUUAAUCUCCUAUAAUAUUCCAGCGCUUCGCGAACCGGUUGAACAAUGAGAUCCUGAAAUAAGCCAAGUUGAAAACUCCCCAAAAAUGAGGCAGCGUGAAAGCUAACUUGUAACUCAGUAAGUAAGUCUCCCAACGCUUCGAACAAUGGGAGGAGGACGAAGCCGAUAAAUGAACACUGAGACGAGGGUUUCGUUAUUUUCUCCCUGUCCAUGAACGGGGUGACAGGUAACCCUUCCAGCUUCUCGGCGUCGCUUUGUUUGAAGAAUUCUUGCAGGAGUCUAUCGAGCCAAGGUUCCGCCACGUCCAUCGGCCGCGCUUCGUUCGAUAUAUCCGACACUUUGAUAAGGACCAUACAAAGCUGAAACACCGGUAUCAAUACAAGGGGACUUUUCGCACCACGGGCGGCUCGUGAACUGUCCCUGUCUUAGAAUUUUUUGACUUUUGAAACUUUUGAAUUCAAAUCCAUUCAAUGCAAAUCAAUUAAUACUGGACUACAAGAUAUAUCUUUUUUUAUUAUGUGUUAUUAUUGUACGUUUAAAGCUUCUGAAUUGAAAUAUAGUAACAACUAUGUACUCACCGAUCACAUAAAUUUAUUUGUAAUAGGUUGGUUUUAUUUAAAGCUGUAACUGUAAAAUUUAUAAACACUAUACAAACAAACUUUAUGAUUCUUUCCAAAACACUAAAAAAAUUAGUUGCAUAUUAAUAACAUAUCUCAACCGACAAAAAUCUGCAUCAUUGCUUCUGACAACCCGAAUAAUUAACAAAAUUAGGAGGAAAUAGUUAGAACACAUUUUGAUAAGUUAAACUAUACAAAAACAAACAACAAACAUAGAGAGUAGAAAAAAUAGUAUAUUACACUAGUUUUAUAAAACUUAAUUGUGGCACUCAUUCCAUUGGAGCACGACGAAGGAAUCAUUCGUGCCACAAUAGAAUGUCUUAUAAAACUAUUCUAUGCUAGCUAUCAAUUUGGAUUUUUUUAAACGACAGGUCUUACAACAAGGCACAAAUAAUAAAUAUUAUACAAUAAGUGAAUUAAACCAUUGUUUAUUUUAUACCACGAGCGCAAGCGAGUGGAUUAAUUCUUCGAGCAAAUUAAUAGGUUUAAUUCACGUGUCGUAUAUAUUUUUUUAUUCAAUUUUGACCAAAAUUUACCAAAAAAUGCAAGAAAAUGUUAAAAUUAAACGUUCGGUCUAUACAAAUCAUAUCACAUGCGAAUCAAAUUUCCAUAACAACGAGUUGUUUAUUUAUUUGCGAAAGUGCGAGAAUUGUAACGAGUAUGGAAAAAAUGGCUAGAAUCAGCGAUUUUAAAGAGGAAAACCAGGUUUUCGUGCCUGAAUUGGUCAUUCAAGAAGCUUCAGAAGCUAUAAAUAAAGUGGUGCCGGCAAAAUCUAAACAAUUAUACGAAAAAGAGUAUUCAAAUUUUUGUGAAUGGAGGAAGCGGAAACGAGCUGUUUAUUUAUUUGCAAAAGUGCGAGAAUUGUAACGCGUAUGGAAAAAAUGGCUAGAAUCAGCGAUUUUAAAGAGGAAAACCAGGUUUUCGUGCCUGAAUUGGUCAUUCAAGAAGCUUCAGAAGCUAUAAAUAAAGUGGUGCCAGCAAAAUCUAAACAAUUAUACGAAAAAGAAUAUUCAAAUUUUUGUGAAUGGAGGAAGCGGAAGGAUGCAAAGGGAGUAGACGAGAGAAUAAUUUUGGCUUAUAUUUCUGAACGAUCCAAAAAUGCUAAAUCUUCGUCAUUGUGGGCGUAUUAUUCCCAACUGAAGAAAAUGUUAUCUGUUAAAGAAAAUAUCGAUAUAAGCAGAUUUCAUCAGGUAUCUGCUUUCUUAAAACAACACUCUGUAGGGCACAGACCAGUCUUCAGCUUCGAAUAAAUGGAAAAGUUUUUAGACACUGCUUCAGAUGAUGAAUAUUUGCUGCAAAAAGUGGUUCUAAUUGUGGGAGUUUUUGGAGGCUGUAGAAUUGGAGAAUUAGUUGCCAUGUCAGUUGAUGACGUCGAUGAUCGAGGCAACGUAAUUGUGGUCAAUAUUCCUGACACGAAGACUUAUAAGCCAAGAACAUUUACUAUCAUCAAUGGAAGUAACUCUAUUCCUGCCAUUGACGUUUUUCGCAAGUACAGAAAACUACGACCCGAGAGUGUUUUACACAAACGGUUACUACUAUUUCAAAAUUUCCCGAAAAAAUUGCACGAUUUCUUUGUCUUCCAAAUCCAGAAGAAUAUACUGGACAUAGCUUUAGACGUUCAAGUGCAACUUUACUGGCAGACUCUGGAACCGAUUUAGCAGUGGUAAAGAGACACGGAGGAUGGCGUUCAAAUAGCGUUGUGGAAGGAUAUAUGGAAGAUUCCCUUAAUAAUAAAAUUGAAAUUUCAAGGAAAAUCAUAAACCAUUCUUCAACAAUCAUUCAGAAGGAAUCCACUUCAAAUUCGGAAGCACGUACUUCCGCGUCAUCAACAUCACAUGAAUAAAUCACUACUUAUGCGUGUUACUAUGGAAUCAAUAAUGUCACUUUAUAAUGUCAAAAUUGAAUAAAAAUAAUUU